rnacentral:lncRNA from 1 species
UUUUUUGUAAAGUUUUUAAUUUGGGAAGUUUUAACUGUUUUUGUAAAGUUUUUACAUGGGGAUGUUUAACUGUUUUGUAAAAACUUUAAAUGGGGAUGUGUUACUGUUUUUGUAAAAUUUUUAAAUGGGGAUAUUUAAAUGUUUUUGUAAAAAUUUUAAAUGGGGAUGUUUAACUGUUUUUGUAAAAAAAUUAAAUAGGGUUGUGUAACUGUUUUUGUAAAAGUUUUAAAUGGGGAUGU